rnacentral:rRNA from 1 species
GACGAACGCUGGCGGCGUGCUUAACACAUGCAAGUCGAACGGAAAGGCCCUGCUUGCAGGGUACUCGAGUGGCGAACGGGUGAGUAACACGUGGGUGAGCUGCCCUGCACUUUGGGAUAAGCCUGGGCAACUGGGUGUAAUUACGGGUAGGAGGCAUUUUUAGUGUGAUGGUUGGAAAGUUUUUUUGGUUUUGGAUGAGCUCGCGGCCUAUCAGCUUGGUGGUGGGGUAAUGGGCUACCAAGGCGGCGACGGGUAGCCGGCCUGAGAGGGUGGACGGCCACAUUGGGACUGAGAGACGGCCCAGACUCCUACGGGAGGCAGCAGUGGGGAAUAUUGCACAAUGGGCGCAAGCCUGAUGCAGCGACGCCGCGUGGGGGAUGACGGCCUUCGGGUUGUAAACUCCUUUCGCUAGGGACGAAGCUUUUUGUGACGGUACCUAGAUAAGAAGCACCGGCUAACUACGUG